CAGUCUGGAGUGGCGGAAGUGCAGACCGGAAGACCAGAAGGGCGUCCCUGAACGGGGGCCGUCCGGUCGCACUGAGCACCGCCGCACCAGACGCAUUUGUCUCCCGCCCGAAGGACGCCGCAGCCGGUUGGGUAGUGCAAGCGCGACGGCCUGAGGGGCGGAAGAUGGCAGGUGGCCGGUGGAGCGUCUCUGUGCGCGUCGCCGGUUGUUAGCCGUUCCGUCAGUGGCACGUCACCCGACCGAGGUGUCGCGAGGCCCUACGGGGCCUCACCGUCUCUCCUCCAUGGAAGUCGGGACAGAGCGCCGCAGGUGGCUAUCGCCGUCCCGUUCGCACCCCUACGGGGUGGUCGGGCGAGCGUGCGCUUCCGAUCGCGGUGCCGGACCCGUCGGAGGCCGGGGGCUGGCGGCGAGUAGGUCGGUCACCCACCCGACCCGUCUUGAAACACGGACCAAGGAGUCCAACAUGUGCGCGAGUCAAUGGGUCUUGAAUAGGCCCAGGGGCGCAAUGAAAGCGAAGGUCGGCGGACGCCGACCGAGUUGGGAUCCCCGGCUUCGGCCGGGGCGCACCAACGACCCGUCCUAUCCGGCUCGCCGGUUGGGCGGAGUGUGAGCGUACACGUUGGGACCCGAAAGAUGGUGAACUAUGCCCGGAC
rnacentral:rRNA from 1 species